rnacentral:sRNA from 1 species
GGUUUCCGGAGCCGGCGGCGGCGGGCAGCGCCCGGGAGGGCUCGGCAGCCGCUUCCGCCCCCAGCAGCUGGCCAGUGCCCACAGCCAGAGUACUUGGCCUCUGCCGCCGCCGGCGCGCCUCAGGCAGCAUCUUCCAGCUGGGCCCGGGGUGGACCCGCCCAGCGGGCAAUGGGACUAGGAGUGAGUCUUUGGUUGUUUGUGAUGUUGCCGAAGAUUUAGUGGAAAAGCUGAGAAAGUUUCGUUUUCGCAAAGAAACGAACAACGCUGCUAUUAUAAUGAAGAUUGACAAGGAUAAACGCCUGGUGGUACUGGAUGAGGAGCUUGAGGGCAUUUCACCAGAUGAACUUAAAGAUGAACUACCUGAACGACAACCUCGAUAUCCUUUUCUUA